CUGAAUGUGCGUUUCAAAGCCAAAGCCAGACCCAUCCACUCCUCAAUCCAAAAUUGUUUGGCAGAUACCAAACACCCAGCUCACCAAAAGCCAAGUUGACUCCAUCCCCACUCCUCCCCAAUCUACUCCCAGUAUUCAAGUUUUAAUUUGAUAUGAAUCCAAUGAUUCCGGGUCCAUUCAACCCUACUGCGCCUCCGAAUUGGGCUCCAGUGUUGCCGCCGUUUCCACCACCAUCCAGUGCCUUCUGGAAAAGCAGUAACGUCCGUGAUUGCCUCAAAGAUUUGCAUGACACUGUUAAUCUAGCUAAAGCAUUGGGAAAGGAGUUAGAGAUGUUGAUUAUGAUGAAAAAUGAGGAAGAAUCUAGUGAGGGUGAUAGUUCAAUUGACAGGUUUCAUAAGUUGAUGGAGGAGAAUAGGUUUGAUUUAGAUUCUCAAGAAAUGAUAGCAUUGGAAGCUGCUAAUGCUUUAACAUCAAGAUUGAGAGUUCAGCUUGAACCAUUUAGAGUUGUAGCUGAUGUGAAAGCUCCGUGGGAGGAAAAAUCUGCUGCGGUAAAACUGUCAGAUAAAUUGCGCAAGUAUAAGAGGAAUAAGCGUUGGCGGAAAAGAAAGAGGAUGCAGGUUGCUGAGAACCUGGCAAAGGAGCGUGAGCAAUUUGACCGGAUUGACAAAGAAGCUGAUGAGUGGAGGGCUGGAGAGAUUGCAAAGGAAAUUGCUAAGCGUAAGGUAGAAAAGCUGAAGGAAAUUGCAAAAUUUAAGGCAAAAGAAGAGAAGAAAACAUUAGAGUCCGAGCUUGAGCUGAUGCUGAUCGUGGAGAAGCUGCAAGAGUUGCGGUCCCUUAGGAUCCAAAAACUGAAAAAACAAGGUCAUUUUCUACCCGAAGAGGAUGACAAGUUUCUUGAAAGAGUUAGAGCUGCUGUUGAGGAAGAGGAGCGACAAGCUAUGGCUGCAGCAGAUACAGAAGCUGCAAAAGAUGCUAUUGCAACUGCCGAGGAAUCUAGAAUUCAAAAUCGUGGACCUGACUCUGAAAAACCAAGCAAUAACAACAAAACUGUAGACAUGAUGGUGGAAAGUGAAGAUAGAAGAGAUUCAACUGUAGUCACUGGCAAUGCCUCCAGACCAAGAGGAACAGAAGGACAAAGUUCGACUGUUGCAUAUGAUUCUAUGGCAAACUUGCCAAUGGAAUUUUAUCACUACUACUACGGCAGCAAAACUGAUAUGGGCACCCUCAUUGAAGUUAGGAGAACAUGGGAUGCAUACAUCAGACCUGGUGGAAGCCAAAUACCAGGGCACUGGGUUCAGCCGCCUCCCCCAUCAGAUGAAACAUGGGCAUCCUACCUGGUGAAACCUAAAUGACGAUAGAAUUAUGAGGCUUAAUGAAGAUGUGGAAUACUGAAGCAAAAUCUCCGUGCAACAAUGCUGCUGUAAAUGCAUCUAGAAGCACGAAGUCACCAACCACCAAAGUAAGUCAUGGUGAAAAAUCAUGCAACUGGAAGCAUAUUGCAGAAUGGUCGUAUCCUAAACAAGAUGGACCGAAAAAUGGAAUUGGAUGCCCUGAUUAGUUGCCCUCAGAGAUGAAAAAGUUUGUGAUAAGUUGAGCCAAAAGAUAUAUGAAGAUGGAAGACUACAGGUGUUGUACAGGAGACAAUGAUGACACUGAUAACAUGGUGGAGACUUUGGAAAGAGCAAUUUGAAACCUAGAGAAAGAGAACAGAGAUCUUAAGGUUGCAUUGUUUCUCUUUCUCGUUUGUUAGAAAAACAUAUUCUAUUUAGUUGAUUAUCUGCAUCGAAGUUGUGAUCAUUAAUUUUUUAUAUUGUUUUUGCAAUCACUUAGUUGAUAAUGCAUUCAACCCAAGUUUUAGCAUUAUACCAUGUAUCUGCUACUCUAGUUGUGACUUUUAAACACAAAUU